AUUAUUUGAAAACAUACAUUACUUUAGUUGUCUUAUUUAUACUUCCUGAAUGAAAAAAACAACACAAACAAACAAAAAUUUCUCAAAUGUAUUAUUUUUAUUCAUCAGAUGAAGUUUGGGAAGUUGCAAUUGAUUAAAUUAAAGUUGUUUGACAGUUGUUUUACUCUAUAGAAGUAAUUGAUGACCAUAGAUAAUAACAAGCUUUUCAUGCACAAACAAUGACAACGUGCACUGCAAACUAACACCAAGCUGUUCCAUAGAUGGUUGACAGAAACAGAACCAUGUUUACACUAUUUCUAUUUCGCAUCUUUGGUUUAUUGUCCAAAAACUUCCAACCGCAAGGGACACAGGUGUACUUCUUGCGGAUUUUUGGGUUUUCUGUUUCAGUAGAUUUAAAUGUUGAAACCCAGCUGGCGUGUAACAGAGAGACGUGUUGUGCUGCAGGUCGAGUCGACGCUGAUGUCUCGUACACUGAUGUCAUCAUCACACAGGAAGUGCAACCCAACAGGAUCAGAGACGUGGAUGCUACACAGACCUUCUACUCUCUGCCCCCAUGUUUACAUUGUCCUGACCUAUUUGUGGAAGGUGUUUCCAGGCUGGCCCUGAGUUUCUGUACGGAUAUUAAAAUGAAAUGUUUUCA